UAGGAGUUUUUACCGUGGCCAUCCACACUC
rnacentral:piRNA from 1 species